rnacentral:rRNA from 1 species
UACGGAGGAUCCGAGCGUUAUCCGGAUUUAUUGGGUUUAAAGGGUGCGCAGGCGGAAGAUUAAGUCGGUGGUGAAAUUUUGCAGCUCAACUGUAAAAGUGCCAUUGAUACUGGUUUUCUUGAGUGUGGAUGAAGUAGGCGGAAUUUGUGGUGUAGCGGUGAAAUGCAUAGAUAUCACGAGGAACUCCGAUUGCGCAGGCAGCUUACUAAACCAUAACUGACGCUCAGGCACGAAGGCGUGGGGAUCAAACAGGAUUAGAUACCCCGGGUA